UACAGAGGUCUCAAGCGUUGUUCGGAUUCAUUGGGCGUAAAGGGUGCGUAGGUGGUGCUGUAAGUCAGGUGUGAAAUCUCGGGGCUCAACCCCGAAACUGCACUUGAUACUGCAGUGCUCGAGGACUGGAGAGGAGAUUGGAAUUCAUGGUGUAGCAGUGAAAUGCGUAGAUAUCUGGAGGAACACCGGUGGCGAAGGCGGCUUCCUGGACCGACACUGACGCUGAGGCGCGAAAGCCAGGGGAGCAAACGGG
rnacentral:rRNA from 1 species